rnacentral:misc_RNA from 1 species
GAUGAAGAACGUAGCGAAUUGCGAUAAGUAAUGUGAAUUGCAGAUUUUCAGUGAAUCAUCGAAUCUUUGAACGCACAUUGCGCCCCUUGGUAUUCCGAGGGGCAUGCCUGUUCGAGCGUCAUUAUAACCCCUCAAGCUCAGCUUGGUGUUGGGGCCUGCUGCACUGGCAGCCCUUAAAAUCAGUGGCGGCGCCAUCUGGCUCUAAGCGUAGUAAUUCUUCUCGCUAUGGAGUCCUGGUGGAUGCUUGCCAUCAACCCCCAAUUUUUCUAUGGUUGACCUCGGAUCAGGUAGGGAUACCCGCUGAACUUAAGCAUAUCAAUAAGCGGAGGA